rnacentral:rRNA from 1 species
AAUCCGGUUGAUCCUGCCGGACCUGACUGCUAUCGGAUUGAUACUAAGCCAUGCGAGUCAUUGUAGCAAUACAAGGCAGACGGCUCAGUAACGCGUAGUCAAUCUACCCUAUGGACGGGAAUAACCUCGGGAAACUGAGAAUAAUGCCCGACAGAACAUUAUACCUGGAACGGUUUAUGUUUCAAAUGAUUUAUCGCCGUAGGAUGGGACUGCGGCCUAUCAGUUUGUUGGUGAGGUAAUGGCCCACCAAGACUAUUACAGGUACG